AAUUUCAGCAAAAUCAGACAAGGUUUGUGUCCUUAUUAGGUUACAGACUACUAAUUUUACCCCUAUUUCAUUGACCACUCAAGUAGUUCCAGUUUAAAAAUAGAGGUUUUUUCUUAAAAAUUCUUUGGGGUGUUUAUGGGGUGGACUGAUGUUAUUUUUGGGUAUAGAUGGAAAGGAGAGGGUUUGAAAAAAAAUAUAAAAUUGUUAAUAUGUGAAAUUUUGCACUUGCGCGCGUAGUAGGAAGGGUGUAAAGAGGCCCAUAUUUACCCUUUCCCCGAAGAGAAAGUGAAAAAAGCAGGGUAGGGGUUAUUUGCGAUGCCUUAGCAGGAACUGCAUGCGAUGAAUUUUCCUGAGAGUCUGAAAAAUUUUUGGACUUGAAUUCUUCUUACUCUGUGCCAAGUUUCAGCCUUUCCAGAUAACGCCAUCUUUGCCAAGAACGAUAACUCUAAUCUAUUGCAGAACUGUUCGGAGUCGGCCAUGUUGACUUCAUAUGGCUCGGAGUAAACAAAUUUCACCAGUUAUAUUCGGAUGCUUUAUGAGGUGUAAAUAAACUUUCCUGGAUAAUCAAGAUUUCAGUGAUUACCAGCCAGAGACUGUGUGUAAAUAUUCUUUCGCUUGUUUGUUUAUUCCUGUAUAUACCCCUUGUUGGAAAACUCAAGGAUUCAUCUUUGGUUUUACUUCAUUGAGGAUUUUUCCUAAAGACAUUGAAAAAAAAAAAAAGAAAAGAAAAAAGACAAAAAAAAAGAUUUAUUCAGUUGAGCUUUUAAGGUAUGUAUUUAUUAAAUAAUACAGAGGGAUCACUUAUUAUGGCACUUGUCCAUCUGUCAGUCUGAAAUAAAAAAU